CAGUCGAGGGGUAGGCAUCUUCGGAUGUUGAGACCGGCGCACGGGUGCGUAACGCGUAUGCAAUCUACCUUAUACUAAGGGAUAGCCCAGAGAAAUUUGGAUUAAUACCUUAUGGUUAAUAGAGUUGGCAUCGACUUUAUUAUAAAGAUUUAUUGGUAUAAGAUGAGCAUGCGUCCCAUUAGUUAGUUGGUAAGGUAACGGCUUACCAAGACGAUGAUGGGUAGGGGUCCUGAGAGGGAGAUCCCCCACACUGGUACUGAGACACGGACCAGACUCCUACGGGAGGCAGCAGUGAGGAAUAUUGGUCAAUGGAGGCAACUCUGAACCAGCCAUGCCGCGUGCAGGAUGAAGCAUCUAUGGUGUGUAAACUGCUUUUGUACGGGAAGAAAAAAAGCUACGUGUAGCUUACUGACGGUACCGUAAGAAUAAGGAUCGGCUAACUCCGUGCCAGCAGCCGCGGUAAUACGGAGGAUCCAAGCGUUAUCCGGAAUCAUUGGGUUUAAAGGGUCCGUAGGCGGCCUUAUGAGUCAGCGGUGAAAGUUUUUGGCUUAACCAAAAAAUUGCCAUUGAUACUGUAGGGCUUGAAUUAUUGUGAAGUAACUAGAAUAUGUAGUGUAGCGGUGAAAUGCUUAGAUAUUACAUGGAAUACCAAUUGCGAAGGCAGGUUACUAACAAUAUAUUGACGCUGAUGGACGANAGCGUGGGUAGCGAACAGGAUUAGAUACCCUGGUAGUCCACGCCGUAAACGAUGGAUACUAACUGUUUGGGCGAAAGCUUGAAGUGGCUAACCGAAAGUGAUAAGUAUCCCACCUGGGGAGUACG
rnacentral:rRNA from 1 species